GAGGUGAAAGGUGGACCAUCAAAUUAACAACAGGGGACAACAUGUUUCUGGUGGGGGAUAAAGUCUGCCUUAUCAAAAACAUUAUCCAAAAUGAUAAUGGUGUGUACGCUAUUUACACUGAAUUUUCCCGGCAGUCUCCAUUCUAUACCUACCCCUUCAACUCUGACAGAAUGAACAUAUUUGUUGUAAAUUAUCCAUCUGACGAGCUGAAGUCAGUUGAGGUGUCAGCGCUGCGACAGAAAUGUGUAGCCUUGCCAUACAGGGAUGGUUUCGUGGCCAUACCCCUCCUCCACUAAAUGGAAAAAAACAAAGAAAAAAAAUCCAAUCAAUCAGUUUAAACAAUCAGUUCAAGUUAAAAACUCUAAAAAUAUAGUUGACUACUGACUUCUGACUAUGACUUCCAUUACUCUGGAUGAAAAUUUGCUGAUGCCUUUUCAUCUAAUUGAAUUUCAAGCGAGCGAGGACAUCGCUGUUGUGCCAAUUGACUGGUAUGAUGACGGGAUGGUGUACUGGCCCAGCUUUAAGAGCACUGAGCGUGUGAAAAGGGCAGCUGCUAACGAGGAGAAGCAUGAGCCAAACUGGCCAAGAUAUGAUGUAAAGGUUGUCAGAACUUGUGACAACUACAAAGACGCCAUUAGGCUUAUGACUCAAUAUCAGAAUGGCUGCAACACCUCUGAGCUACAGUCUGAGGCAGAGCAGGAGGGUAAGCUGCCAGAGAAAAAGAUUCAGGAAGCCAGUGUAAGUGUGUUCUGUCUUGUUUUUGUUAUGUUUCUACAGUAAUAAGAAGGUUAUUUCCCGUAGCAUUCAAAAAUAGACAAGAGAUGCUUGUACUAUGUAUAUUUUGCAAUUUUGGGAUUGCAAUAACCAUAAUGGUUACUUAACAGCCAUCGUUUUGGGGACUCUGAUGAGAGUGAAGAAGAGCCAGAAAAUGGUGACUUUGCAUCUCUGAGGAUGCCACGACCUUCCAACUUGCCUGGUGUAUCAGUUGAAGCCUCAUGCCCAAGCCAAUUGCACUGGAAGACUCCAUCAUCUUGCCGAGUGCCAGGCAGCAGAGUAACUACUCCUCAACCUGGAGAAAACUGUCUAGCACCAGACUAUGGAGCAGGACAGCAACACCCUUCACCACCUCAACUCCCAACACCCGCAUUUAACAUGCGGAGAGUUACUCAAGGAAUGGCAGUCCCUCCACAACUCCCUCCACCCCCCGCACCAGCCCUCAACAUGCGGCCAACAGAGGAAGCCUGUUCAAGCCUGACCUACAGACCAACAUGGCGAGGGGGAAGAAUGGCCGAUACCAUUCCCUGCUCUGCGGCUGAGGUCCACAUACUUAGCCUGCUGGAAACCAUUAAACAGCAACAAGACCAGCUUGUGGCAAAGGUGAACUACCUCAGCAGCAGGCUGAACAGCACCCCGGGGCCAGAUGUUGAGAUGCCUGAAAAUAUCCAGUUUCCCCUGGAACAAUUGGAGGCCGUGGAGGCAUUUGAAAUGUUUCUAAAGGAACCGUCAAAUGGCCCAGCUCGACAGAGAGUGAUUUCUUCUUUGGCCACCAUUGGAGGCCAGGAUGUGAAGAGGGUGACCUGGAACAUCCUGGGCAGGCUCUUCACAGAUGAGGUGUCUCAUCAGAUCAACUGGAAGGGUGUUAAUAACAAAAAAAGCCCUUCAGUAGGAUGGCAACGAAGACCUUGCUUUUCAGUGCUGUGA
ensembl:lncRNA